AGUGAACGCUGGCGGUAGGCCUAACACAUGCAAGUCGAACGGCAGCACAGUAAGAGCUUGCUCUUACGGGUGGCGAGUGGCGGACGGGUGAGGAAUACAUCGGAAUCUACUUUUUCGUGGGGGAUAACGUAGGGAAACUUACGCUAAUACCGCAUACGACCUACGGGUGAAAGCAGGGGAUCUUCGGACCUUGCGCGAUUGAAUGAGCCGAUGUCGGAUUAGCUAGUUGGCGGGGUAAAGGCCCACCAAGGCGACGAUCCGUAGCUGGUCUGAGAGGAUGAUCAGCCACACUGGAACUGAGACACGGUCCAGACUCCUACGGGAGGCAGCAGUGGGGAAUAUUGGACAAAGGGCGCAAGCCUGAUCCAGCCAUACCGCGUGGGUGAAGAAGGCCUUCGGGUUGUAAAGCCCUUUUGUUGGGAAAGAAAUGCAGCCGGCUAAUACCUGGUUGGGAUGACGGUACCCAAAGAAUAAGCACCGGCUAACUUCGUG
rnacentral:rRNA from 1 species